rnacentral:rRNA from 1 species
GACGAACGCUGGCGGCGUGCUUAACACAUGCAAGUCGAACGGAAAGGCCCUGCUUUUGUGGGGUGCUCGAGUGGCGAACGGGUGAGUAACACGUGAGUAACCUGCCCUUGACUUUGGGAUAACUUCAGGAAACUGGGGCUAAUACCGGAUAGGAGCUCCUGCUGCAUGGUGGGGGUUGGAAAGUUUCGGCGGUUGGGGAUGGACUUGCGGCUUAUCAGCUUGUUGGUGGGGUAGUGGCCUACCAAGGCUUCGACGGGUAGCCGGCGUGAGAGGGUGACCAGCCACAUUGGGACUGAGGUACGGCCCAGACGCCUACGGGAGGCAGCAGGGGGGAAUAUUGCACAAUGGGCGGAAGCCUGAUGCAGCAACGCCGCGUGCGUGAUGACGGCCUUCGGGUUGGAAACCGCUUUCGCCUGUGACGAAGCGUGAGUGACGGUAAUGGGUAAAGAAGCACCGGCUAACUACGUG